AGGAGGACUGGCUCAGCUCAGGAGAGGAUUCAGUCUUGCCUUUCUUUUCCCUCUCUUUGGCCUCCAGUUGUCCCUGCUGAUCCCAGAGGGGUUGUGCCUGGGUCUGAGCACUCUGCUGGCUUAGGGAGAUGUGAAAUUUGAACCUGGUGUUUACAGACCCUGGUGAAAGCCAAACUCUUUCCAGAGUCACUGUUCUGGUGGAAGCUCAGCAAUAAGGGAACAUGCUGGAACAGCAAAAUUCAGCAAAGCAAGGACAUCCUCAAAGGGGAGCUUUGCUGAGAUCAGUGGCAGGAAAAGUAUUCCAUGGAUUAAAUCAAGCAACAGCAAUGGCCACAAGGCUUGCCAUGGAUUGUGCAGAAGUUCCUCACUUGUUUCCAGCACCAGCUCCAUAUGAACAGUUUUCCUCACAAGACCAGGCUAGUGCAGCUCCUGGAAGAAACCUCUUCCAACUUCUUGUUGCACUUAAUAAAUGUGAAACUGCAAGGAUAAGAUGGUUGAUGCAGGAAGAACAGAGUGUGCCACAAUGUUAUAAAUGGUCAUUUUUACAGGGUACCUCAUUGUGACACAUUUAUUGGUGCUAUUUUCCAGAGGCUGCCCAUAGCUAAAAUCAUAUAUCUUGGGGACAAAGCUUUGCACAUUGCCAGCCACAUAUGGCUCAUUGUGGAAACAAACAGCAACUGGGUUCAAAAAGGCAUUUUUUUCUCGCAGCAACUGAUGCCUCAAACCAUGGAAAUAUAUUAUAUUUUCAGUAAUUACUCUCUGCAGUUCAUAAUUACCCAACAAUGCAGAGUGGUGGGAGUUUCCAGCAGAAGCAACUCAACUGUUCAGCACCAGCAGGAGAGAUGAAAAUCAGACAUGACCCCUUCCUCGUGAUAUUGGCCUGCUCUCUGCUGGACUCUCACUUGAACCCAAAAUUUUGGAACUCCAGGAAUUAUAUAUCCACAGGGACUACAUAACACACCUAAGGGAAAAUAAGUUUUAAAGUUAUUAUCACUCUGUGUCCCCCACUGGAACAGAGAAUACAACUUUCAAAUUAUUUUGUAUAAUAAAACACUGAGUUCAAGAGCCAUUGAUCAGCUCAACUUCUCAUCUCCUGCUACCCUUGGGCUUAAAAGAGAUGGGUUUUCCACACCCUGGUUUAUCAAACACAGAUUUUUACCAAAUCUCCAAUGCUCAAAUCAAAAGAAAACCCAAUAUUUGACUCAAGGGAGGAGUGGAAGAGAGAUGACACUGCUUAAAACUGCCUUAAGA